UACAGAGGUCUCAAGCGUUGUUCGGAUUCAUUGGGCGUAAAGGGUGCGCAGGCGGCGGGGCAAGUCGGACGUGAAAUCUCGGGGCUUAACCCCGAAACUGCGUUCGAUACUGCCCUGCUAGAGGACUGAAGAGGAGACUGGAAUUCCUGGUGUAGCAGUGAAAUGCGUAGAUAUCAGGAGGAACGCCAAUGGCGAAGGCAAGUCUCUGGACAGUUCCUGACGCUCAUGCACGAAGGCCAGGGGAGCAAACGGG
rnacentral:rRNA from 1 species